UACGGGGGGGCUAGCGUUGUUCGGAUUUAUUGGGCGUAAAGCGCGUGUAGGCGGUUUUAUAAGUCUGAUGUGAAAGCCCUGGGCUCAACCCGGGAAGUGCAUUGGAUACUGUAAGACUUGAAUACGGGAGAGGGUAGUGGAAUUCCUAGUGCAGGAGUGAAAUCCGUAGAUAUUAGGAGGAACACCGGUGGCGAAGGCGGCUACCUGGACCGAUAUUGACGCUGAGACGCGAAAGCGUGGGUAGCAAACAGG
rnacentral:rRNA from 1 species